UCAAAGGAAUUGGACGGGGCCCGCACAAGCGGAGAGCAUGUGGUUUAAUUCGAUGAUACGCGAGGAACCUUACCUGGGCUCGAACGUAAGAUGACUGUAGGUGAAAGCUUACAUCUCUUCGGAGCAUUUUACGAGGUGCUGCAUGGUUGUCGUCAGCUCGUGCCGUGAGGUGUCGGGUUAAGUCCCAUAACGAGCGCAACCCUACCUUUAGUUGCCAUCAGGUAAUGCUGGGGACUCUAAAGGAACUGCCUACGCAAGUAGUGAGGAAGGCGGGGAUGACGUCAAAUCAGCACGGCCCUUACGUCCAGGGCUACACACGUGCUACAAUGGCCGAUACAGAGGGCAGCUACCUGGUGACAGGAUGCAAAUCUCCAAAGUCGGUCUCAGUUCGGAUCGGAGUCUGCAACCCGACUCCGUGAAGUUGGAUUCGCUAGUAAUCGCGCAUCAGCCAUGGCGCGGUGAAUACGUUCCCGGGCCUU
rnacentral:rRNA from 1 species